AAGACCUUACGCUUUUGGAGCGGCCGAUGUCUGAUUAGCUAGUUGGUGGGGUAAUGGCCUACCAAAGCUUCGAUCAGUAGCUGGUCUGAGAGGACGGCCAGCCACACUGGGACUGAGACACGGCCCAGACUCCUACGGGAGGCAGCAGUGGGGAAUUUUGGACAAUGGGCGCAAGCCUGAUCCAGCCAUGCCGCGUGAGUGAAGAAGGCCUUCGGGUUGUAAAGCUCUUUCAGCCGGGAAGAAAAGGUUGCGAUUAAUAAUCGCAAUUUAUGACGGUACCGGAAGAAGAAGCACCGGCUAACUACGUGCCAGCAGCCGCGGUAAUACGUAGGGUGCGAGCGUUAAUCGGAAUUACUGGGCGUAAAGGGUGCGCAGGCGGUUUUGUAAGUCAGAUGUGAAAUCCCCGGGCUUAACCUGGGAACU
rnacentral:rRNA from 1 species